rnacentral:rRNA from 1 species
AUUGAACGCUGGCGGCAGGCCUAACACAUGCAAGUCGAGCGGAGCGGCGGACGGGUGAGUAAUGCCUAGGAAUCUGCCUGGUAGUGGGGGAUAACGUCAGGAAACGGGCGCUAAUACCGCAUACUAUCAGAUUCGCCUAGGUCGGAUAGGCUAGUUGGUGGGGUAAAGGCCUACCAGGGCGACGACCCGUAACUGGUCUGAGAGGAUGAUCGGUCACACUGGAACUGGACAACGGCCCAACUUCCAACGGUAGGCAGCAGUGGGAAAUAUUGGACAAUGGGCGAAAGCUGAAUCAAGCCAUGCCGCGUGUGUGAAGAAGUUCUUCGGAUUGUAAAGCACUUUAAGUUGGGAGGCGUUACCAACAGAAUAAGCGCCGGCUAACUACGUGCCAGCAGCCGCGGUAAUAC